AGUCUGUCAGCUGCGCGUUCGCUCGGAAGAGCGACAAGCUUCUUUUUUUUUUUUUUUUUUUUUUUUUUUGUAGUUUUAAUUGGUACUUUGGGCCUGAAGGCGGGGGCCUCACUGAGAAAGGAAACUGAGCCUGAGCAGACACUCUCUGCGUAGGAUCAUCAUGCCGAGCAUAAACUGGACUUUCCCACUUGCGUGGCAGGAGUGAGACAGAUCACUGUGUGCUAAAUGAGCAUCUGAGAGAAGGAAUGAAUGCUGCAUAAUUAAGUACAGUAUUUAAUUUGGCUGUUGUGAAGCAAAAGAAUAAGAUGUCCUUGGCGUGUACACCCCUACGGAAUCUGGUUCAUCUACAAUCUGUCAGAAAGCAUCAGAGGUGGUUUUGAGUCCUUAUGUCCUGAGCCUGUGAACAAAAUGUACCUUGUGUGGAGGAAAAUGAGAUCCUGAGUGAAGUCUACAAUGUCAUUGACUCUGAAGAAGGACUCAGAGACCCAUUGGUGUUUAAUGACCCUUACUGGCCUAUGCAAUAGGAACUGGAGGAAGAGAUUCCAAGGAUGCAUGUGCACAGAGAAAAGGCCAUGUGAGGACCCAGUGAGAAGCUGGCUAUCUGCAAGCCUAGGAGAGAGGCCUCAGGAGUAAUGAACCCUGCCAACAUCUUGUCUUGGACCUUCAGACUCCAGAACUGUAAAGAGGAGAAAAGAAAUCAGGAAAAAUUGGGAAGAUAAAUGGGGUCUUUCCAGUGAAGACGCAGAUAUCAUACCCAUGAGACACGAAGAGUUUGUAAGAGGUAUCACACUGGCUCAAUUUUCCUACAUAAUUAAGACUUUGCAGCUUGAGGAAUGCCAAGAACCACAUCUGCACUGAAAUCAAUCAUCUGUUUGAUGACUUCCACUAACAUAGAUGGAGGAUGCAUAGCCCAUUUCAGUGGGACACCCCAGGCCCUGCCUAUGGUGGUUAAGUCUGGCUUAAAUUCAGAAAACACAAGAAAUAAGAAGACCAUUUUGAGAAGAGCAGAUAGUUGCCUUAAGAAAAUCCCUGUCAUAUGCACUCCGGGAUUUGGACUCAAAUCCUAAUUAUACAAACAGUGGCAUCACUGCCUUACACAUCUGCUUUACAUCUUCUAAGGAGCCAGUGACAGAAUUAGUGUCAGACACGGCACUCAGGUGGAAGAGGAAAACAAGAACAUAGGUUAUAAUCUCUCAAGCUGACAGUGCACCUUCUCAAAGAAGAGAAAUGGAGCCAUUUGGGUACCCAGCUGCUGUCCAUUCUCCACACUUAGCCCACCCAGUGGAACACCAUUGAGAAAAACAUUGCUGCAAUUCCUGAUAAACUGACACGGGUCCCAUACCCACUAAGAGUGAAACUAUCUCCUAGUCAGAGGAAACUACAACUGAUGAGAAAGACAGAUUAAUUUCUCUGCCCUUACUGUUACACAAAAGAUUGAUGCUGCCAUUUUUACAAUUUGCUUUCCCCCCUGGAGU